UGGUAAACGAUGUGGGAAGGCUUAGACAGCUAGGAGGUUGGCUUAGAAGCAGCCAUCCUUUAAAGAAAGCGUAAUAGCUCACUAGUCGAGUCGGCCUGCGCGGAAGAUGUAACGGGGCUCAAACCACACACCGAAGCUGCGGGUGUCACGUAAGUGACGCGGUAGAGGAGCGUUCUGUAAGCCUGUGAAGGUGAGUUGAGAAGCUUGCUGGAGGUAUCAGAAGUGCGAAUGCUGACAUGAGUAACGACAAUGGGUGUGAAAAACACCCACGCCGAAAGACCAAGGGUUCCUGCGCAACGUUAAUCGACGCAGGGUUAGUCGGUUCCUAAGGCGAGGCUGAAAAGCGUAGUCGAUGGGAAACAGGUUAAUAUUCCUGUACUUCUGGUUACUGCGAUGGAGGGACGGAGAAGGCUAGGCCAGCUUGGCGUUGGUUGUCCAAGUUUAAGGUGGUAGGCUGAAAUCUUAGGUAAAUCCGGGGUUUCAAGGCCGAGAGCUGAUGACGAGUCGUCUUUUAGAUGACGAAGUGGUUGAUGCCAUGCUUCCAAGAAAAGCUUCUAAGCUUCAGGUAACCAGGAACCGUACCCCAAACCGACACAGGUGGUCGGGUAGAGAAUACCAAGGCGCUUGAGAGAACUCGGGUGAAGGAACUAGGCAAAAUGGCACCGUAACUUCGGGAGAAGGUGCGCCGGCUAGGGUGAAGGAUUUACUCCGUAAGCUCUGGCUGGUCGAAGAUACCAGGCCGCUGCGACUGUUUAUUAAAAACACAGCACUCUGCAAACACGAAAGUGGACGUAUAGGGUGUGACGCCUGCCCGGUGCCGGAAGGUUAAUUGAUGGGGUUAGCGCAAGCGAAGCUCUUGAUCGAAGCCCCGGUAAACGGCGGCCGUAACUAUAACGGUCCUAAGGUAGCGAAAUUCCUUGUCGGGUAAGUUCCGACCUGCACGAAUGGCGUAACGAUGGCGGCGCUGUCUCCACCCGAGACUCAGUGAAAUUGAAAUCGCUGUGAAGAUGCAGUGUAUCCGCGGCUAGACGGAAAGACCCCGUGAACCUUUACUGUAGCUUUGCACUGGACUUUGAGCCUGCUUGUGUAGGAUAGGUGGGAGGCUUUGAAGCGUGGACGCCAGUUCGCGUGGAGCCAUCCUUGAAAUACCACCCUGGCAUGCUUGAGGUUCUAACUCUGGUCCGUAAUCCGGAUCGAGGACAGUGUAUGGUGGGCAGUUUGACUGGGGCGGUCUCCUCCUAAAGAGUAACGGAGGAGUACGAAGGUGCGCUCAGACCGGUCGGAAAUCGGUCGCAGAGUAUAAAGGCAAAAGCGCGCUUGACUGCGAGACAGACACGUCGAGCAGGUACGAAAGUAGGUCUUAGUGAUCCGGUGGUUCUGUAUGGAAGGGCCAUCGCUCAACGGAUAAAAGGUACUCCGGGGAUAACAGGCUGAUACCGCCCAAGAGUUCAUAUCGACGGCGGUGUUUGGCACCUCGAUGUCGGCUCAUCACAUCCUGGGGCUGAAGCCGGUCCCAAGGGUAUGGCUGUUCGCCAUUUAAAGUGGUACGCGAGCUGGGUUUAGAACGUCGUGAGACAGUUCGGUCCCUAUCUGCCGUGGACGUUUGAGAUUUGAGAGGGGCUGCUCCUAGUACGAGAGGACCGGAGUGGACGAACCUCUGGUGUUCCGGUUGUCACGCCAGUGGCAUUGCCGGGUAGCUAUGUUCGGAAAAGAUAACCGCUGAAAGCAUCUAAGCGGGAAACUUGCCUCAAGAUGAGAUCUCACUGGGAACUUGAUUCCCCUGAAGGGCCGUCGAAGACUACGACGUUGAUAGGCUGGGUGUGUAAGCGUUGUGAGGCGUUGAGCUAACCAGUACUAAUUGCCCGUGAGGCUUGACCAU
rnacentral:rRNA from 1 species